CCUACGGGUGGCAGCAGUGAGGAAUAUUGGUCAAUGGACGAGAGUCUGAACCAGCCAAGUAGCGUGAAGGAUGACGGCCCUAUGGGUUGUAAACUUCUUUUAUAUGGGAAUAAAAUGUUCCACGUGUGGGAUUUUGUAUGUACCAUAUGAAUAAGGAUCGGCUAAUUCCGUGCCAGCAGCCGCGGUAAUACGGAGGAUCCGGGCGUUAUCCGGAUUUAUUGGGUUUAAAGGGAGCGUAGGUGGAUUGUUAAGUCAGUUGUGAAAGUUUGCGGCUCAACCAUAGAAUUGCAGUUGAAACUGGCAGUCUUGAGUACAGUAGAGGUGGGCGGAAUUCGUGGUGUAGCGGUGAAAUGCUUAGAUAUCACGAAGAACUCCGAUUGCGAAGGCAGUUCACUGGACUGCAACUGACACUGAGGCUCGAAAGUGUGGGUAUCAAACAGGAUUAGAUACCCGAGUAGUC
rnacentral:rRNA from 1 species